rnacentral:rRNA from 1 species
CAGUCGAGCGGUAAGGCCCUUCGGGGUACACGAGCGGCGAACGGGUGAGUAACACGUGAGCAACCUGCCCCUGACUCUGGGAUAAGCGGUGGAAACGCCGUCUAAUACCGGAUACGACCCGCCCCUGCCUGGGGUGCGGGUGGAAAGUUUUUUCGGUUGGGGAUGGGCUCGCGGCCUAUCAGCUUGUUGGUGGGGUAACGGCCUACCAAGGCGAUUACGGGUAGCCGGCCUGAGAGGGCGACCGGCCACACUGGGACUGAGACACGGCCCAGACUCCUGCGGGAGGCAGCAGUGGGGAAUCUUGCGCAAUGGGCGAAAGCCUGACGCAGCGACGCCGCGUGGGGGAUGACGGCCUUCGGGUUGUAAACCUCUUUUACCACUCACGCAGGCCCCGGGUUUUCUCGGGGUUGACGGUAGGUGGGGAAUAAGGACCGGCUAACUACGUGCCAGCAGCCGCGGUAAUACGUAGGGUCCGAGCGUUGUCCGGAAUUAUUGGGCGUAAAGAGCUCGUAGGCGGUGUGUCGCGUCUGCUGUGAAAGACCGGGGCUUAACUCCGGUUUUGCAGUGGAUACGGGCAUGCUAGAGGUAGGUAGGGGAGACUGGAAUUCCUGGUGUAGCGGUGAAAUGCGCAGAUAUCAGGAGGAACACCGGUGGCGAAGGCGGGUCUCUGGGCCUUACCUGACGCUGAGGAGCGAAAGCGUGGGGAGCGAACAGGAUUAGAUACCCUGGUAGUCCACGCCGUAAACGUUGGGCGCUAGGUGUGGGGGCUUUCCACGGUU